rnacentral:rRNA from 1 species
AGCAGCCGCGGUAAUUCCAGCUCCAAUAGCGUAUAUUAAAGUUGCUGCAGUUAAAAAGCUCGUAGUUGAAUUUUCGGGACCAUCAUGUCGGUCGUGCCUCGGUACGUACUGGCAUUGUUGGUUUCUCCCUUCUGACGAACCAUGAUGUCAUUAAUUUGGUGUCAUGGGGAAUCAGGACUGUUACUUUGAAAAAUUAGAGUGUUUAAAGCAGGCUCACGCUUGAAUACAUUAGCAUGGAAUAAUGAAAUAGGACGUUUGAUUCUAUUUUGUUGGUUUCUAGGAUCGACGUAAUGAUUAAUAGGGAUAGUUGGGGGCAUUAGUAUUCAAUUGUCAGAGGUGAAAUUCUUGGAUUUAUUGAAGACUAACUACUGCGAAAGCAUUUGCCAAGGAUGUUUUCAUUAAUCAAGAACGAAAGUUAGGGGAUCGAAGACGAUCAGAUACCGUCGUAGUCUUAACCAUAAACUAAUGCCGACUAGGGAUCGGAUGAUGUAAUUUUUAAUGACUCAUUC